GAGGGUAUAGCUCAAGUGGUAGAGUGCAUGCUUAGCAUGCAUGAGGUUCUGGGUUCAAUCCCCAGCACCUCUU
rnacentral:tRNA from 1 species